rnacentral:rRNA from 1 species
CUAAUACAUGCAAGUCGAGCGGACCGACGGGAGCUUGCUCCCUUAGGUCAGCGGCGGACGGGUGAGUAACACGUGGGUAACCUGCCUGUAAGACUGGGAUAACUCCGGGAAACCGGGGCUAAUACCGGAUGCUUGAUUGAACCGCAUGGUUCAAUCAUAAAAGGUGGCUUUUAGCUACCACUUGCAGAUGGACCCGCGGCGCAUUAGCUAGUUGGUGAGGUAACGGCUCACCAAGGCGACGAUGCGUAGCCGACCUGAGAGGGUGAUCGGCCACACUGGGACUGAGACACGGCCCAGACUCCUACGGGAGGCAGCAGUAGGGAAUCCUCCGCAAUGGACGAAAGUCUGACGGAGCAACGCCGCGUGAGUGAUGAAGGUUUUCGGAUCGUAAAACUCUGUUGUUAGGGAAGAACAAGUACCGUUCGAAUAGGGCGGUACCUUGACGGUACCUAACCAGAAAGCCACGGCUAACUACGUGCCAGCAGCCGCGGUAAUACGUAGGUGGCAAGCGUUGUCCGGAAUUAUUGGGCGUAAAGCGCGCGCAGGCGGUUUCUUAAGUCUGAUGUGAAAGCCCCCGGCUCAACCGGGGAGGGUCAUUGGAAACUGGGGAACUUGAGUGCAGAAGAGGAGAGUGGAAUUCCACGUGUAGCGGUGAAAUGCGUAGAGAUGUGGAGGAACACCAGUGGCGAAGGCGACUCUCUGGUCUGUAACUGACGCUGAGGCGCGAAAGCGUGGGGAGCGAACAGGAUUAGAU